rnacentral:rRNA from 1 species
AUUGAACGCUAGCGGGAUGCCUUACACAUGCAAGUCGAACGGAGUGGCGAACGGGUGAGUAAUGUAUCGGAACGUGCCCAGUAGCGGGGGAUAACUACGCGAAAGGGUAGCUAAUACCGCAUACUAUGGGAGCGGCCGAUAGUGGAUUCGCUAGUUGGUGGGGUAACGGCUCACCAAGGCGACUAUCCGGAGCGGGUUUGAGAGGGCGACCAGCCACACUGGGACUGAGACACGGCCCAGACGCCUACGGGAGGCAGCAGUGGGGAAUGUUGGACAAUGGGGGAAACCCUGAUCCAGCCAUCCAGCGUGUGCGAUGAAGGCCUUCGGGUUGUAAAGCACUUUUGGCAGGAAAGCGGUACCUGAAGAAUAAGCACCGGCUAACUACGUGCCAGCAGCCGCGGUAAUUC